ACUGCUUCUUGGCCUUUUGGCUGCCAUCAAGUAUAGUAUCUGUUUUUACCAGUUUAAUAUCUGAUACAUCCUCUAUCCAAGGAUAAUAUAUUAAAAGGAUUUUUAUAGCAGGGAGAUGGAACAGGGGCUUGUUCCUUCCACUGCACACAUCAUCCUGGUAUUACAGUACCUCCAGGAAUGAUGCACACACA
rnacentral:snRNA from 1 species